rnacentral:lncRNA from 1 species
AAGCCUACACAUGACUCAGUGAGAAAGAAUGGACAGCCCAACAGAUCAACACCCACGGCCAAUGAUACAUCAGAACACACUUCAUCACAGAUGACAGGAGGAAAGUGAAGUGGGAGGUGAAUGAUGUGCAAAGGACCAUGGAAUGUGGAACCUUGCCCAGCCUGCUGCUCAGGAGGCGAUUGCUCAAGGCUGUCUUAUGCAGAGGAGGUCAACAGUUGACCCAUGAACCAUUUAAACUGGAAGGAAGAAUUAACCAAUACCCUGAGAGAUUGACUACAACUACUUUUUCCUGAAAGUUAGAGUGCAGAGUACAGGAGAGGAAGGCCAUUUACUAAUUUUCCUGCUUCCUUCACCAGUCCUCUACCUCUCCAUACCUAAGGUCCUUCACUCAAUAUACUCAAGUCUUCUCUGCUAUGUCUGCAUUCCCACAUGCCACGGCAUAUAAAAGGUAGGAUAAGGAGUUCCAUCACUUCACACAAGCAUCUACCAGGAGGAGGAAAAUAAAAACAUUUUACCAUCAACUUCGCCACUUGCUGUGAAACCGAAGGCUUGUUAUAUAAGCGUUUGGGGACAUAAUGAAUGUGACUUACAUAUGUCAUCUGGGAGACAUGGUGUUUAUAUUUCUUGAGUUGAAUUGGGGCAGAAAAAUAAUGGGCAUCUAAAAUGCUCAAUAAUUGAGAGAAACUUUAAAAGUUAUUCCUCACCCUAGUUUGUCUAAUAUCUAUCUUUAUCAUCUUAUUUGUCAGUUCCUUGGGAAAUUAAGAAAUUUAGAAAUUUCUACUGAAAUAAAAU